GACGUGGGGGGCCAGCGUUGCUCGGAAUUACUGGGCGUAAAGGGUUCGUAGGCGGUGCGGCAAGUCGGGGGUGAAAUCUCUGGGCUUAACCCAGAGGCUGCCUCCGAAACUGCCGUGCUCGAGUGCGGGAGAGGCGAGUGGAAUUGCAGGUGUAGCGGUGAAAUGCGUAGAUAUCUGCAGGAACACCCGUGGCGAAGGCGGCUCGCUGGACCGCAACUGACGCUGAGGAACGAAAGCUAGGGGAGCAAACAGG
rnacentral:rRNA from 1 species